rnacentral:rRNA from 1 species
AUUGAACGCUGGCGGCAUGCCUUACACAUGCAAGUCGAACGGCAGCACGGGAGCAAUCCUGGUGGCGAGUGGCGAACGGGUGAGUAAUACAUCGGAACGUGCCCAAUCGUGGGGGAUAACGCAGCGAAAGCUGUGCUAAUACCGCAUACGAUCUACGGAUGAAAGCAGGGGACCGCAAGGCCUUGCGCGAAUGGAGCGGCCGAUGGCAGAUUAGGUAGUUGGUGGGGUAAAGGCUCACCAAGCCAACGAUCUGUAGCUGGUCUGAGAGGACGACCAGCCACACUGGGACUGAGACACGGCCCAGACUCCUACGGGAGGCAGCAGUGGGGAAUUUUGGACAAUGGGCACAAUCCUGAUCCAGCCAUGCCGCGUGCAGGAUGAAGGCCUUCGGGUUGUAAACUGCUUUUGUACGGAACGAAACGGCCUUUUCUAAUAAAGAGGGCUAAUGACGGUACCGUAAGAAUAAGCACCGGCUAACUACGUG